rnacentral:lncRNA from 1 species
UGUUCCUGCUCCGGCUCCUGCGGGGAUGGAUGCUUCACGCAGUAAGCGAGUAAGCGAGCCCUGGAGACCGGGGCCCUGGGUGUGCGGUCGGCUCAGUGCCACGCGGCUAAGUCGCGGAAGCGUAGACACCCGGCUUUUCCCGCGUGCUCUAUCGGGCUCCCCUGGACACGGAGGGUGGAGCAGAAAGAGCAGAGGGGCCGGUGGGAGCCAUGGGGAGUCCGCCUAGCUCCAGAGGACACCUUACCUGGAUCCGCCUUUGUAGCCUCCUCCUGGCUCUGGGGGCUGUCCUGUGGGAGGGGCUGUCCGAAAUAGAGACUGCUCCUUCAGCCUGGACCCAACUGCGAAGAAGCCACAUGGAACAGAGCUGCAGCUAACCUGAAGUCUGUGUGAACUGAGUGCAAGAGACAAAUGUUUGCCACUGGAAAUCACGGA